UUGAUGUAAUAGGCCAAUUUUGGCCUGGCCCAAUUUAUAUAAUAAAAAUAAAAAAAUAAAUCAAAUCAAUAAAAGUCCAAAUUUUGCAGCCUAUUUUUUUUUCAAAUAUCAGAGCCCAAUUAACAACAUGCAUAGCCCAAAUCAGAACUAUCCAAACCCAAUUAAAACUCCAACACUAGCCCUAGCCCACUAACCCACAACAUGUUCAGAAAAUAAAAACCCUAGGCCUCCCUUUGACUAACGCUGCACGUCACCUCGUGCGAGACCACCGCCGCACGCCAUCCUCCACGCGUCUAACACCUGCAAAAAUUGAAUGCAACAGCAGAAAGGAACACGCGAGCAACAGUGGUAGUAAAUAGCAAAGAGACAAAAUAAUAGAAGCUAACAGUCUGUAACUCGGUUAUAAAAGCCGAUUUAUUUCCUUUUUAAUUUUUUUACGCACAAAAAGAAAUCAAAGCAAAACAGAAGCUUAAAAAGGUUGAUUUUGAUUUUCAUUUCUCGUUUUCUUUUCGAUUUCCUUUUUAUUUUUUUAUGUUUUAUUAUAAAUCUAUUUUAAAUAAAAAGAUAAAAUAAAAACAGAAGAAGAGAAAACUUACCUGAACCCCGAGGUUGCGUCGUCAGAGUCCCCUCUCCAUCGUCGAAACCGAAUCAAAAGGGGAGGAAGGGCUUUCUUCUCUCGGGUUUUUAGGCUGAGAAGGCAUGGCCUUUAAGGGAGUUUUAAACAGGGGCUAAAAAGCUCGUUUCGCACCCUUCCGACCACCGCCCACGGUAGAGGAGCGGCGGCUCGGUGACGACUCCCCAAGACUAGGUCGAAACCCUAGUAGAGAAGAGGGGAAAGGGGUUUUAAGAUUUUUU
rnacentral:lncRNA from 1 species